UUUUUGGUUCCGAUGGCCGUCAGGUAGAAAGAAACGCGAAGCUUUCAUCUCUCUCUCUCUCUCUCUCUCUCUCUCUCUCUCUCUCUCUCUCUCUCUCUCUCUCUCUCUCUCUCUCUCUCUCUCUCUCUCUCUCUCUCUCUCUCUCUCUCUCUCUCUCUCUCUCUCUCUCUCUCUCUCUCUCUCUCUCUCUCUCUCUCUCUCUCUCUCUUUCUCAGGUCUUCGCCCUAAGACUUGGAGUCUUGGAGUCGACUUAGCCGAGCUGUGGUGGUUUCAAAAACCUCUUUGUAUCUAUCGGUCAGGUAUUUUUUUCAGUUUCCAACAAUUUCUGGUUUCUCGAGAAAAUGCUGUGAAACUCUGAAAUGGAAGUGUUAGAAGGGACCAGGUUGAGGCUAAUCUGUAGAAGUUAAAGCAGGAACUUGAUGAUUACUCGUGUCCAUUGAUUUUAAAAUCUAACAUGUGGGUUUCAAUUAAUACUUGUAAAUUCGCAGAAGUAGAUAGAUUGCUGUUUCUAAGUCAAGUCUGCUCUAAGAGCUACCAUAAGUUGGACAUGAAACAGAGGAUUCAAGUAGCCUUGAUUCGAAGACAAAGGCAGAGAGGCCAAGAGAGCAAAAAAAGAUUCACUUCUUGUCUUUCUUCCUCACCACGUUAAUAAUUUCUCUCAUAAGACUUAUCACUCUCGCCAUGAUCCUUUGCUGCCCAGAGGCCGUUACUGGAACAAAUGGCCACCCCAGUCUCCUUCUCAACUCUACUAUCUGCUUGGAUCUCAGCACUAUUUGAGGGGAAAAAAAGAGAGUAAAGUGUUUUAGAUUGAACAAGAGAGAGAGAGAGAGAGAAGUAAGGAAGUUGUAUAUUCUGCAAUAUAAGAGUUUAUCUAGAGAGAGGGACUUACUCA
rnacentral:lncRNA from 1 species